CGCGCAGGCGGUCUUUCAAGUCAGUGGUGAAAGCCCGGAGCUCAACUCCGGAAUUGCCAUUGAAACUGUUAGACUUGAGGAUGAGAGAGGUGAGUGGAAUUCCCAGUGUAGAGGUGAAAUUCGUAGAUAUUGGGAAGAACACCGGUGGCGAAGGCGGCUCACUGGCUCAUUUCUGACGCUCAGGCGCGACAGCGUGGGGAUCAAACAGGAUUAGAUACCCUGGUAGUCCACGCCGUAAACGAUGAAUGCUAGCCGUUGGGCAGCUUGCUGUUCAGUGGCGCAGCUAACGCAUUAAGCAUUCCGCCGUGGGGAGUACGGCCGCAAGGUUGAA
rnacentral:rRNA from 1 species